UUGUCUUUAUGUAACAGGACUGUGGCCAGUUUCAAGUAAUCCAGGAUAGGCUGUGGGUACUGAUGUCAGCCUGUUCUUGAUUACUUGGCCUUGGAGGCAGCCGGUGGCAUCUUUUAGGACA
rnacentral:pre_miRNA from 11 species